rnacentral:rRNA from 1 species
CCUACGGGGGGCAGCAGUGGGGAAUAUUGGACAAUGGGCGGAAGCCUGAACCAGCCAAGUAGCGUGCAGGAUGACGGCCCUACGGGUUGUAAACUGCUUUUAUACGGGAAUAACGCGCCUUACGUGUAGGGCUUUGCAUGUACCGUAUGAGUAAGGACAGGCUAAUUCCGUGCCAGCAGCCGCGGUAAUACGGAAGGUCCGGGCGUUAUCCGGAUUGAUUGGGUUUAAGGGGAGCGUAGGCCGCAUGUCAAGCGUGCUGUGAAAUGUCCGGGCUCAACCCGGGCCUUGCAGCGCGAACUGGCGUGCUUGAGUCCGCGGAAGGCAGGCGGAAUUCGUGGUGUAGCGGUGAAAUGCUUAGAUAUGACGAAGAACCCCGAUUGCGAAGGCAGCUUGCUGCAGCGGAACUGACGCUGAUGCUCGAAAGCGCGGGUAUCGAACAGGAUUAGAUACCCUAGUAGUC